rnacentral:rRNA from 1 species
UACGAAGGGGGCUAGCGUUGCUCGGAAUCACUGGGCGUAAAGCGCACGUAGGCGGAUCGUUAAGUCGGGGGUGAAAUCCUGGAGCUCAACUCCAGAACUGCCUUCGAUACUGGCGCUCUUGAGUCCGGAAGAGGUGAGUGGAACUCCUAGUGUAGAGGUGGAAUUCGUAGAUAUUAGGAAGAACACCAGUGGCGAAGGCGGCUCACUGGUCCGGUACUGACGCUGAGGUGCGAAAGCGUGGGGGAGCAAACAGGG